rnacentral:rRNA from 1 species
UGGGGAAUAUUGGACAAUGGGCGCAAGCCUGAUCCAGCCAUGCCGCGUGAGUGAUGACGGCCCUAGGGUUGUAAAGCUCUUUCACCGGUGAAGAUAAUGACGGUAACCGGAGAAGAAGCCCCGGCUAACUUCGUGCCAGCAGCCGCGGUAAUACGAAGGGGGCUAGCGUUGUUCGGAUUUACUGGGCGUAAAGCGCACGUAGGCGGACUAUUAAGUCAGGGGUGAAAUCCCGGGGCUCAACCCCGGAACUGCCUUUGAUACUGGUAGUCUUGAGUUCGAGAGAGGUGGGUGGAAUUCCGAGUGUAGAGGUGAAAUUCGUAGAUAUUCGGAGGAACACCAGUGGCGAAGGCGGCUCACUGGCUCGAUACUGACGCUGAGGUGCGAAAGCGUGGGGAGCAAACAGG